rnacentral:rRNA from 1 species
AGUGAACGCUGGCGGUAGGCCUAACACAUGCAAGUCGAACGGCAGCACAGGAGAGCUUGCUCUCUAGGUGGCGAGUGGCGGACGGGUGAGGAAUACAUCGGAAUCUGCCCAGUCGUGGGGGAUAACGUAGGGAAACUUACGCUAAUACCGCAUACGACCUUCGGGUGAAAGAAGGGGAUCGCAAGACCUCUCGCGAUUGGAUGAGCCGAUGUCGGAUUAGCUAGUUAGCGGGGUAAUGGCCCACCAAGGCGACGAUCCGUAGCUGGUCUGAGAGGAUGAUAAGCCAAAUGGGAAAUGAGCCACGGGCCAGCCUCCUAGGGGAGGCAGCAGGGGGGAAUAUUGAAAAAUGGGCGCAAGCCUGACCCAGCCAUACCGGGGGGGUGAAGAAGGCCUUUGGGUUGUAAAGCCCUUUUGUUGGAAAAAAAAUUUUUCAGGCUAAUACCCGGGGAGGAUGACGGGACCAAAAGAAUAAGCACCGGCUAACUUCGU